rnacentral:rRNA from 1 species
ACUACGGGUGGCAGCAGUGGGGGAUAUUGCACAAUGGGGGGAACCCUGAUGCAGCGACGCCGCGUGGGUGAAGAAGCGCCUCGGCGCGUAAAGCCCUGUCAGCAGGGAAGAAAAUGACGGUACCUGAAGAAGAAGCCCCGGCUAACUACGUGCCAGCAGCCGCGGUAAUACGUGGGGGGCAAGCGUUAUCCGGAUUUACUGGGUGUAAAGGGGGCGCAGACGGCGAUGCAAGCCAGGGGUGAAAGCCCGGGGCCCAACCCCGGGACUGCUCUUGGAACUGCGUGGCUGGAGUGCAGGAGGGGCAGGCGGAAUUCCUGGUGUAGCGGUGAAAUGCGUAGAUAUCAGGAGGAACACCGGUGGCGAAGGCGGCCUGCUGGACUGCAACUGACGUUGAGGCCCGAAAGCGUGGGGAGCAAACAGGGUUAGAUACCCGGGUAGUC